rnacentral:rRNA from 1 species
UACGGAGGAUGCGAGCGUUAUCCGGAUUUAUUAGGUUUAAAGGGUGUGUAGGCGGAAGACUAAGUCAGUGGUGAAAUCUCUCGGCUUAACCGGGAAACUGCCAUAGAUACUGGUUUUCUUGAGUACAGUUGAAGUAGGCGGAAUGUGUAAUGUAGCGGUGAAAUGCUUAGAUAUUACACAGAACACCGAUUGCGAAGGCAGCUUGCUAAGCUGUUACUGACGCUGAUGCACGAAAGCGUGGGGAGCGAACAGG